UACAGAGGGUGCAAGCGUUAUUCGGAAUUAUUGGGCGUAAAGGGCGCGUAGGCGGCUUGAUAAGUCAAAGGUGAAAUCCCUCGGCUCAACCGAGGACCUGCCUUUGAUACUGUCUCGCUUGAGGCCGGGAGAGGGUAGCGGAAUUCCCAGUGUAGCGGUGAAAUGCGUAGAUAUUGGGAGGAACACCAGUGGCGAAGGCGGCUACCUGGACCGGUUCUGACGCUGAGGCGCGAAAGCGUGGGGAGCAAACAGG
rnacentral:rRNA from 1 species